AUGCCAGAAGAGUCAGCAGCAGAACCAGUAGAACCCGUCGAUGGAGAACCGAAAGAUGGAGCUAGCAGGCAUCGAAGUCGCACAAUCUCCUACUCGGUUAGGGGCGCAACUGAAGAGGUCGACAUAGAUGCACCCGACAAUAGAGAGCCGGAGGCAACCAGCAGGGCACGAAGUCGUGCAAUCUCCUCAAUGAAAUACACAGAUGAAGUAGUCGACACAGUAGAACCGGGAGAGGAGUGGCCACCACCACCUGUGGAAGUGGAAGCCACUAGAUGUGGCGGUGUAACAGGACUAGUAGUAUCCACAAAGGCGGAUGGAGACGAGGCCGUGUGCAGACAAGCACCAAGCGUCAAUGUAAGAAGCAUGUGCGAGGUGUAG
rnacentral:rRNA from 1 species